AGAGUCGGCCAGGUAAUCGCUCACCGGAUUUCUGAUUUCAUGGAGUCAUCCGGAAAUUGGUGCCGGUGAGAGGAAAGUCCGGGCUCCACAGAGCAAGACGCCAGGUAACGCCUGGGAGGCGCGAGCCUACGGAAAGUGCAACAGAAAAUAUACCGCCUGUCCUGGUGACAGGUAAGGGUGAAAUGGUGCGGUAAGAGCGCACCGCAUGGAUGGCAACAUCCAUGGCAUUGCAAACCCCGUCUGGAGCAAGGCCAAAUAGGGAUCCUGAGGUGCGGCUCGCACUGGAUCCGGGUAGGCUGCUUGAGGUAUGCGGCGACGCAUAUCCCAGAUGAAUGGUUACCCACGACAGAACCCGGCUUACAGGCCGACUCUAUCC
rnacentral:RNase_P_RNA from 1 species